UACAGAGGUCUCAAGCGUUGUUCGGAUUCAUUGGGCGUAAAGGGCUCGUAGGCGGCCAACUAAGUCGGACGUGAAAUCCCCAGGCUCAACCUGGGAACUGCAUCCGAUACUGGAUGGCUUGAAUUCGGGAGAGGGAUGCAGAAUUCCAGGUGUAGCGGUGAAAUGCGUAGAUAUCUGGAGGAAUACCGGUGGCGAAGGCGGCAUCCUGGACCGACAUUGACGCUGAGGAGCGAAAGCCAGGGGAGCAAACGGG
rnacentral:rRNA from 1 species